CAGAUCCUCCUGCAGAGCAGUAGAAAGUCCGGGAGGGGCCCGUACCCGUGGCUCCAGAAAAGGAGCGGUCAGGUACCUGCCAGGUGCGACCAGGCCCUUCCAGGUGCGACCAGGUACCUCCCAGGUGCGGCCAGGCGCCGCCUUAUCUCUCAGUGGGCGACUGUAUUUAUUCCAAACCUAGACUGAGAGAUGACAGCUUCGAGUCUGAUCGGGAAGGAAACACCUCGCAUGCCAAGCACAAAGGGGCUUACUCGUUUCUUUUCUGCAGCGGCAGCUUUCACCCUCCCUCCUGUUUCUCCGCUUUCCCUCCUUUCCCUCCACCAUUCCCCGCCCACCCCUGCCCUUCCCGGGUGGGACACGUGAGCUGGUUUGCUGCCCGGAUGGAGGCUCUAGGGCUCCGCAGCUCCCAAGGCGCUCCCGGUUGAGUCUGCGGCGCGUGGAGCGACAGCGCUGCGCCAGCCUCGUGGCCCACACCUGCGGCUUGAUGUGUUUCUUAAAGGGCCCUUCCCUCUUUCCCGCUGCAGCUGACCUCUCUUCAGCCUCCUCGCUCAUCUUAGUUUCACCUUUUCCACGUUCUUGCGCUCUCAGUGUUUGUCCCCUACAACCCCUUUCCUUCCUGUACUGACUUUCACCAUUACCUUCUCUUCUUUCCUCUCAUUUACAUGUCUGUUUUUAUCUUCACUGUUUAGCUGGGGUCUCACCCCUUACCCCUGUCCCCAUUAACCCAGCCUUUUCCCUCCUUUUCUUCUUCUCACUGUUUUUGAACCCCUUUUCCUCAGCUAGCCAUGAGUAACACUUGACAGCGGUAGAACCUGGCUUACUUCGGAACUAGAAGGAGAUCCUCGAAAUAACUAAAUUUAGGACACGCUUCGCCAACAUAUUAAACAGAGCACAGGAGAAAAGAGGAGCAUGAGAACCCAGAGGAAAUUGUACCUACUCAGAAGUGUGGAGUGAGGAUAGAAGUGCCCAGAUUCAAAGGCAUCAUGAAGUGUCAUGACAAGAUAGAAAAGACUUUGAGCUGGCCAAGAAGGAAUUGGACAAAAUUAUGAGUGAGGUACAGCAGGUGGGAACAGUGUCACUGAACCCUAUCAACAGCAGAGCACGAGAACGUGAAUUCCUGCUGCUGGGGAGGCAAUGAAAUGAUAUGGGCCUUGAGAUGUCUAUGAAUCCUGACCCACCAUGGGUGCCAGUCUUCAAGAGGGUAAGCUGUGCUACCUUUUCACCCUUUGAAACCUGCUUGUUCUGCCCUUCACACAUUCCCACAAGUUAUUACUGCCUGGCUGAGAGAUUCCUGUUUUACUUAUUUUCCCAUAAAGAAACCAUCUCUUAGCACUCAUGCCCUAAGGAGGACUAUGCCCUGCCAUCAGGGGAGUCUAAGACCAUGUGGUGACAUCAGGUGGUAUACCACAAACAUGGUCAGGUCAAUAAAUGCAUGGGCGCUCACAGCAAUAAAAGAUCUAUCAAUCAACAGGUAUUUUUAAAAAUAGCCACCAUUUAUUGAAGGUACUUAUCUCAGUGCUUUGCCCGAGUUAUUUUAUUUAAUGCUCACAAUAACCCUAUGACCUCUGUCUUAUUAUCUCUGUUUUACCAAUAAAAACAGAGCCUUGGCCAAGUUCAAAUAGCUAAGGAGCAGAGUCAAGAUAUGGGUCUAAGUUUUUCUCAUUCUAGAGCUCAUUACAUUAAGCCACCUUUCCAGAAACUUCCAUUUUCAGAUGUGUCUCCAUCCUCAGGUGUGACCUUAGAUAUGUGUGCAGUAAAUAAUUUCACAUUGCCUAAAGAGAGGCCUGGACUUUGUGCUCAGCUCUUGAGAGGCAAUCUCUAAGCCCUUGGAAUGUCUUGCAUGAUAAAAGUUUUCCUGAGGGCUUUGGGCCACACCAGAAAGUCUAACAUUGUGAUGUAUGGUGGGGUCUUUGAGUCAUGUGGUAUCAGCUUAACUUCUAGAGCGGCUGGGGACUUAGGCCAGCCACAUGGGCAGUGACCAUGUCUAUGUGGUGAAGCCCAACACAGACUCUGGACACUAAGGCGUGGGGAACUUCCCUAGUUGGCAGUAUCCCAUGUGUAUUGUCACACAUCAUUACUGAGAAAGUAAUGCUGGGUAUAUCUCCCUGGGAGAACACAACUGGAAGCUCUGUGUGUUUGGAGCUUUCCUGGAUUCUACCCCAUGCAUUUCUUCCCUUAGCUGUUUUUAUUCUGUUUUCUUUCACUGUAAUAAACCAUAACUCUGAGUAGAACAGCUUUCAGCGAAGCUAUGAGUCCUUCUAGUAAAUAUCAAAUCUGAAAGUGGUUUGGAGAACCCCUGAACUUGCAGUUAGUGUCAGAGUCAGGGCAAUUUUGUGAUCUGUUCCCUCACUUUGUAAUGUGUCUCUUAGGCUCUCAGCCUGGGUUUCCUUAUCCAUGACACUGGACAAGGUGAUAACAAUUGCUUUACUUAUGUGGAGCCAGAGACAGUGUGGAUAACAAGCUCUGGAGUGGUGCGGUGCGCAUCCUGAGAAACCAUAUGUGGCAGCCCCGGUUAUCUUGGAAGUGGUUGUUAAGGACUAAAUCUUUUUUUUUUUUUUCCUGAGAUGGAGUCUGGCUCUGUUGCCCAG